UGUAACACAAAUUUCCACUUUCUCAUUUUAUCUCUCUCUCUCUCUGUCCAAUUUCAAGCUUUGUGUCAUCUUUUCGCAUCAUGUCUUGAUCUCUCCAAAUUUUCAUGCGUUAAAGGCCAUGUUCAUAACUUAAAUCAAUGAAAAUUUCCUUCAUAACGUGAUUCAGCUUCUUGUUGUAGGACUAGAAGGAGUUUCUCUGUUUCACCUACUACGUCACAAGAAAACAUGAUGGGAGACUCCUCGAGUUCAAGCUCUUGGAGCAGUCAAACGGAUACUCAGGAUGAUCGGAUGAUUGCUCUUAUGUUAUCUGAAGAAUACACUAAACUAGAUGGUGCAGUAGGCAGACGCCUCUCCAAUCUUGCUCCCGUUCCCGUAAGCUUGGUUCUAGUCCCCUUCCUACAACCAAAUGCAAUUGUAUAGCUAUUCUACACGUUUCUUGUUUUGCAGCAUGUUCCGCGGAUAAAUUCUUAUAUUCCCAACUUAAAUGAUGCCACCUUGGAUCACCAACGCCUUCUUCAAAGGUUCUUUCCCAUAUGCUCGCUCUCUUUUCUUAACAUAACUAGGAGGACUCUCGCUCGUUGUUGUGGAUAUGUUAGUAUACUCAUUCUAUAAUGUUUACUCCUAGACAAGUCAAACUGAGAUUAAUCCCCUAUGAUACACUUUCUUUCAUUGUUAAUUCUUAAGUUUGAUCUUCCUCGCAGGCUAAAUGUUUAUGGUUUGUGUGAGUUGAAGGUCUCUGGUGAUGGAAACUGCCAGGUGAAUAGAGGCUAAAUUUCAAACAAAUCUUCUUUAUCUCUUUCUUUUCUCUCUCUAGUCGUAUACUCAUAUAUCUUUUUGAGUGUCUUUCAGUUCCGAGCUCUUUCUGACCAGUUGUACCGAUCUUCAGAGUACCACAAGCAAGUUAGGGGAGAAGUUGUUAAACAGGUUAGAUGUCUUAUGAGUUAUGACGAUGAUCAAAGAGAGAGAGUGAUGACUGUCUUUUAUGAUUUUCAUUAAACCAUUGUUGCAAUUGAACAAAUGGAUUUAGUACCUGUUUCAGUAUUAGGUGCACACAUUCCUUUUCGUACGUCAUUUCCUAGUUAUUCUGUUGUUUUUGUCUUGUUGCUACAGCUCAAGGACAAUCGCACUAUAUACGAAAGUUAUGUUCUGAUGAAAUACAAACGGUAUUACAAGAGGAUGGCAAAGUAAGUUAUUUUCAUUUCUCCUCUAAGCCAUAAUUGGUUUGAUCUUUAAAUUUUUCUGUUUCAAAUUCAAAAUUACAUGAAUGAAUGACAGACUUGGAGAAUGGGGAGACCAUAUUACCCUACAAGCUGCGGCAGAUAGGGUAAUUUUCCUUUUUUGUCUCAGUUUUCACAGCACUUGUAUUAAUAGUUAAAAUGUACCUAAAUGAUCUUUCCUUUGUUCUCGUAUCACCUGCUCUAGUUCUGUUGAUGUUUUUUACCCCCUAUCUAGUCUUCUUCAUGUCCUUUGUUUCAUAAGCAUGUUACAUGAAAUAGGUAACACUUUAGCACAUCUUCGAGAACGCAUGUAAAGUAAUCGCUGACUUUUGUGGCAUUAGGCACUGUUUUCUUUACCUUUUUCUUAACAAUUUUUUCCAUUGCAUCUCCCUUGAAUAGUUUGCAGCAAAGAUAUGCCUGCUGACAUCCUUCAGAGACACUUGCUUCAUUGAAAUUAUGCCUCGAGACCAAGCACCUAAGCGUGGUGAGACUCUAUAAUAUAUUUCUUUUCACCUUCACUCAUCGCUACUUGAUCUUAAGUAGCAUAUGGAAAAUGCACUCUUACAAAGUUGUGGCUUUAUAUGUUUGGAAUGGUGCAGAGUUAUGGUUAAGUUUCUGGUCAGAGGUGCAUUAUAACUCUUUAUACGAUAAUCAAGGUUUGUCUUUGUGCUUACGAAGUGUAACAAAAUGGUGGCUUUGUGCUUGAGGACACUGAUUAUGAUCUUCUUUCUGAGUGCAGCGGUUCCAGUUCAGCAGAAGCCAAAGAGAAAACAUUGGUUGUUCUAGAAAGCAAGCCUCUCACAUUGAUAACAUCUUCGAAUUUAAGGCCAUGUUCAUAACUUAAAUCAAUGAAAAUUUCCUUCAUAACGUGAUUCAGCUUCUUGUUGUAGGACUAGAAGGAGUUUCUCUGUUUCACCUACUACGUCACAAGAAAACAUGAUGGGAGACUCCUCGAGUUCAAGCUCUUGGAGCAGUCAAACGGAUACUCAGGAUGAUCGGAUGAUUGCUCUUAUGUUAUCUGAAGAAUACACUAAACUAGAUGGUGCAGUAGGCAGACGCCUCUCCAAUCUUGCUCCCGUUCCCGUAAGCUUGGUUCUAGUCCCCUUCCUACAACCAAAUGCAAUUGUAUAGCUAUUCU
rnacentral:lncRNA from 1 species